rnacentral:lncRNA from 1 species
UCUUGAGCUUGCGUCUGUGUAUUGAUUUCCUAUUACAAGAUUUCCCAAUCUCCUCCACUUUCUCAGGAAAAAAAAUGUCUUCAGGUUGCAGCUGCGGUUCUGGCUGCAAGUGCGGCGAUAGCUGCUCGUAAUAAUUCUAUUUGUUACUAGUAUUUCUUGCUUUUUUUGGCAUGUCAUAUGUGUAUAUGUGUAUAUGUGUAUACGCAUGCAUGUUUAUUUUGAUAAGAAAUAGAACAAAUUUGAAACUGUUUUUUUUCAAUUUUUGCCUGUCAAUAUUACAGAUGCAGCAGGAACCUUAACUUGGGACACUCAGAGAAGACUACCACUGAGACCAUCAUCUCCGGAGUUGCGACAGUGAAGACGUCAGUACCAAGAUUAGAAUUCUAUUCCAGCAAACCAAAGUUUUGUUUGAUGUUUUAAUAGAAAUUAAGAAAAACUGAAACCAUGGUUUAAUAACUUGCAGGAACUUUGAGGGGCCCGAGAUGAGCUCUGAAUCAGGGAACGGAUGCAAGUGUGGAUCAAACUGCACUUGUGAUCCAUGCAACUGUUAGCUGAAGCACAAAAAUUGGGCAUGCCAAAGACAAAGCAACAAAUGAGCCUGUAAUAAUUUAAGAUUAAGUAGGGUCUAUGCUAUCUGUGUGUUGUGUAAUAGAGCUUCUCAUAAAUAACACAGCCAGGGUUUUGGCGAUUCCUUUUUCUAAGGAUUUUGCUGCUGCUUCAUGGCGAGUUUGAUCUGUUGUUAAAUUAUAUAAAUAGUGGUUGCUUUUGUCUGGAGUCCUUUGUGAAAGUGGAAGCCCGGAAGGGAAAGCUGCUAGCUUGAAUGUUGUUUGGAGUGAACUAUUGAAUCAAUCAUUAAUGAAUGCAUCUAUGGCGUCUGCCAUUUGUGUCUGCAAAUUUUGAUUCUUUCUUUCUAGAAUUUGUAUGGUUCACGUUUUGGUUGCUUUAAUAAUUAAUGGUUGCUUUGAUUUAGUCAAUCAAGGAAAUAAAAAUCUUGCC